CACGUAGUUAGCCGGGGCUUCUUAGUCAGGUACCGUCCUCCUUCUUCCCUGCCGAUAGGGCUUUACGCGCCGAAACGCUCCUUCACCCGCGCGGCGUCGCUGCAUCAGGGUUCCCCCCAUUGUGCAAUAUCCCCCACUGCUGCCUCCCGUAGGAGUCUGGGCCGUGUCUCAGUCCCAGUGUGGCCGUCCGCCCUCUCAGGCCGGCUACUGAUCGUCGCCUUGGUAGGCCGUUACCCUGCCAACUAGCUAAUCAGACGCGGGCCCAUCCUGUACCACCGGAGUUUUCAGGGGGGUGCCAUGCGGCUCCCCCCGUUAUGCGGUAUUAGCACCUAUUUCUAAGUGUUGUCCCCCUGUACAGGGCAGGUUGCCCACGCGUUACUCACCCGUCCGCCACUCAUGCACGGGGCUUCCGGCCGGAGCCUUCCAUCCCGUACACCCGUUCGACUUGCAUGUGUUAGGCACGCCGCCAGCGUUCAUCCUGAGCCAGGACUCAAACCUCU
rnacentral:rRNA from 1 species